UCUACGUCCCGGAUGAGGAACUCCGUUGUUACGCAGUCCGGGGCCAAUCUAGCCUCCACUGUAAGAAUUCCGAGGCGCGUGAGGGAUAAGGCCUCCUUGGCACACCCAAAGUGGUCAGUCUUUAACAGGAGGGCGCCCGCUCGCAUGUAUCUGACGUCUAAAAGAUCCGAAUGGCUCGAAAUUGCCGAACGCAACUGCUCGCUCGGUUUUAAUUUCGGGAGAGGGUGAGCCCCGGGCCUGGAAAGAAAGACAGCAAACGGCCACGGACGGAAGUGGAUGGACUGACAAUAGUCCACCUUUUCCACGUCCGUCCAGUCACCGACCGCCCUAUCCACCGAGACGUCGGCCGAGGGAAGGUCCUCUCCGUCCAUGUGGCAACGGAGAAGGCAAGCAAAUACCUGGGAUUCACGAAAGGACCCAAAAAACCCCCCCAAUACCUGUGCUCAAGUAUAAGAGUAUAAUCCGGGCAAACUCCUCCGAUCCCCUAAACUGCACCUCCACCGACGGAAACGCCAAAGAGAACCAGUAGAGAUGCUCCGUGAAAGAAGUCGUAUCAAAACACUGGCCAAAUAAUAUCUUCUAAAGUUCCUUUUUGUUGUAAAAACUCCAAAAGGAAAAGUUCCAACCUCGUGGCACUUAUUACACUUCCAACCUUCCAACCUCCUCUCCUCUCGAGCGAUUAAGACUCUUCCAGUCGGCAAUUCUCACAUAAGCCAAAGCGGCUGAUUUUAUUAAGCAGCGAUUUGAUAAAGCAUCGGGCACUGUAAUACUGCCAAAAUGAACGGUACUGAUUGGUCAAGCGCGAUGAUUAAUGCGUGCGUAUGUACAAACUCGAUGGCUGAGAGGGGGGUUGGUGGCAGAUACAGUCCACAGCGAUAAUUUACCUUCAGUCUUUAUGAUAGCAUCAUCACGGACAAAAAACUUUGGCUGAUUUUAUAGUUAAAAUAUAUAUAUAUAUAUAUAU
rnacentral:lncRNA from 1 species